GAGCUUGCUCUCCUGGGUGACGAGCGGCGGACGGGUGAGUAAUGUCUGGGAAACUGCCUGAUGGAGGGGGAUAACUACUGGAAACGGUAGCUAAUACCGCAUAACGUCGCAAGACCAAAGAGGGGGACCUUCGGGCCUCUUGCCAUCAGAUGUGCCCAGAUGGGAUUAGCUAGUAGGUGGGGUAAUGGCUCACCUAGGCGACGAUCCCUAGCUGGUCUGAGAGGAUGACCAGCCACACUGGAACUGAGACACGGUCCAGACUCCUACGGGAGGCAGCAGUGGGGAAUAUUGCACAAUGGGCGCAAGCCUGAUGCAGCCAUGCCGCGUGUGUGAAGAAGGCCUUCGGGUUGUAAAGCACUUUCAGCGAGGAGGAAGGUGGUGAGCUUAAUACGCUCAUCAAUUGACGUUACUCGCAGAAGAAGCACCGGCUAACUCCGUGCCAGCAGCCGCGGU
rnacentral:rRNA from 1 species